ensembl:lncRNA
CACGUUGUUUUCCAUGCUGGUUGUAGAGGGAGGUAGACGUAAUGGUAGUUCUCUGUGAAGCAAGGAAAACAGGAUCCAAACCGGGGACUUUCCAGCAUAUUGUCUGAAAUGUAUAUUUUGUGUAAUAGCGGACCGGACUAUGUGAGGUGAAUCGGCUUUGAAGGGGAAAGCUGUGUAUGCAGCUCAGCGCUGAAUUCUGCCGCCGGGAGUGACCGUGGCCGCGGACUGUAGUCGAGGAUUCGUUGUUCUGGUGCAGGAGUUGGAUCGCCGACCUCCUUUGUGGUGCAGGGGUUGGAUCGCCGACCUCCUUUGUGGUGCAGGAGUUGGAUCGCCGACCUCCUUUGUGGUGCAGGAGUUGGAUCGCCGACCUUCUUUCUGGUGAAGGAAUUGGAUCGCUGACCUCCUUUGUGGUGCAGGAGUUGGAUCACUGACCGUCUUUCUAGUGAAGGAAUUGGAUUGCCGACCUUCGACAUCAGUGGAUCUUUUUUGAUCCUGACAGGGAGUACAGCUUCUACAGGUGACAUGGGAAUGAUCAAACGUUGUGAACAACGGGAGUAAGAAAAAAGAGUGCAGCAAAUCUGUUAUUUUGACCAAAUAAUUUGUUAUUGAAACAAAAUUUUGGAUGUGUCUUGGAGAUAUUUAAAUAAUAAUAUUGAUAUCUCAGAAAAUAAGUGAUUUGAUUCAGUGUGUCAUUCCUCUGCGUGAAAUCAUUCCUGUCCUACUGCCUAAGACUCAGAAAAUCUUGUAGGUACAUAUAUUGGUCUUUAAAUCUCAAAACAGGACAUCACUGAUGAACUGUGGUGAUCCCAGACUGUGAGAUUUAUUUUUUGCAGUUUUGUUUGGACCUGGUUACAACAACAAGGCAGAAAGCUACUUUUUCUGUUUGUCAUUUAGCAAAUAAGUCACAGCAAGUGUUGCCUCUACCUAAUGUAGGCUAAUAAUAAACCUACACAAACUAAAUAUUCAGUUCUAGUAUACUGAUCAUAUGCUGUACCAGUUCACCAAAUAACAUUGGCUGUGAGGUCAUCGUCGUCAAGUUAUGUCGAUUAAUUGAUUAUUAAUUGAUUAUUAUUAUGGGUAGUCCAGCUUGUUAAGCAGGCAGGCAGUUGGUUAAUUUAGGU